rnacentral:rRNA from 1 species
UACGAACGCUGGCGGCGUGCUUAACACAUGCAAGUCGAACGAUGACCCCGGAGCUUGCUCCGGUGGAUUAGUGGCGAACGGGUGAGUAACACGUGAGUAACCUGCCCUUGACUCUGGGAUAACUGCGGGAAACUGUAGCUUAUACCGGAUACGAUCCUCCGCGGCAUCGCCAGGGGGUGGAAAGAAUUUCGGUCAAGGAUGGACUCGCGGCCUAUCAGCUAGUUGGUGAGGUAAUGGCUCACCAAGGCGACGACGGGUAGCCGGCCUGAGAGGAGGACCGGCCACACUGGGACUGCGACACGGCGCAGACGCCUACGGGAGGCAGCAGUGGGGAGUAUUGCACAAUGGGCGCAAGCCUGAUUCAGCAACGCCGCGUGAGGGAUGACGGCCUUCGGGUUGUAAACCUCUUUUAGUAGGGAAGAAGCGAAAGUGACGGUACCUGCAGAAAAAGCACCGGCUAACUACGUGCCAGCCGCCGCGGUAA